rnacentral:lncRNA from 1 species
UUUGUUUGGCGGAUCUCAUUGUUAGUGACAUUUGUCAAUUAAACUCGUGAAUUUAACUUUUUAUGUCAAAUUAGUUUACAUUUUACCUGUAGUCCUAGUUGUCCUGAAAAGAAAACGGUAACACGCUUCAAUGUGAGACUAAAUAUGAGGGCUUGCCAAGCAGAUACAUGAAAAUCGGACUCAUAGUCUGAUUUGACUUGGGACUGAUAGACUAGAAAUGUUUUAAACCUAUCUGCAGUAUGGGUAACUAUUAGAUGUUCAAUGUUUCUUAAACUAUUCCCUUUGAAAGAAUUUCUACACUAUUAAAAUGAGUGUUCAGUUCAUGUUACAGGGUUGACCUUAAACCUGAGGGACAAACGCAAAUGAAUUACUAAUCACAUUAAAUAAGUGAAACAUUUUCAAAAUCUAAUCGUGGAACUACCUAUUUAUUCACUAUAUUGUGGCUUUCUUUACUUUAUAAUAUUAUAAAGGCUUAUUUUAUCUGUCAAAUUCUCAGUAACAUUGAAUGUAUUAUAGGAAUCUUGUAACUACUGUCUAACAGUUUAUAGCAAAUGCACUAGAAGUGUAUCAUAAGGCAUUAAGGGAAAGGGGGAUACCUAGUCAGUUGUACAACUGAAUGCCUUCAACUGAAAUGUGUCUUCCGCAUUUAACCCAACCCCUCUGAAUCAGAGAGGUGCGGGGGGGGCUACCUUAAUCGACAUCCACGUCUUCGUCAGCCCGGGGGAACAGUGGGUUAACUUCCUUGUUUAGGGGCAGAACGACAGAUUUUUACCUUGUCAGCUCUGGGAUUCGAUCCAGCAACCUUUCGGUUACUGGCCCAAUGUGUGUGCCUCAUAUUUAAAAAUAACAAUAAUUUAAAAAAUUGUUGUCUGUACAUGGACAGUGAUUCACAGGGUGGAGGUGACAGAGGAGGUAGAACUGAACUGGCCUCGUGGUUUUUGGGUGAGUGUGUCGAAGCUGAGACCAACAAGAGGCACGCUAGAGGUGCGAGCCACAAGGCCCUAACCAAGCCCGACCCAGAUGAGUGCAAUGCUGUUGCUGAAGUGACUGGAAUUCGAAUGGCAUUGACCCCAAUGACACAAUUGUGAACAGACUGUGGUCCACACUGUAGGAACACUAGCCGCUUCAGGCGGAUCAAGUAGAGUCACAUAGAGGACAAAGAGGAGCAGCAAGAAGAAGAGGAGAUGGGGUGAGUGUUUGCUAAACAUGGCCACUAGCCUUGGGGUAAAGGAAAGGGACAAGACAACAAGGUGAGGGCAGACAGAAUGGAAGUUUGUCAUCUGAAUGUUUGCUGAAGGCUCAGGCAAGGGGUUAAUGACUGCAUUAGUGUAAAC